rnacentral:rRNA from 1 species
UACGUAGGUGGCGAGCGUUGUCCGGAUUUACUGGGCGUAAAGAGCGCGCAGGCGGUCGUAUAAGUCGCGUGUGAAAGCCCCCGGCUCAACUGGGGAGGGUCACGCGAUACUGUUCGACUCGAAGGCAGGAGAGGGAGGUGGAAUUCCCGGUGUAGUGGUGAAAUGCGUAGAUAUCGGGAGGAACACCAGUGGCGAAGGCGACUUCCUGGCCUGUUCUUGACGCUGAGGCGCGAAAGCUAGGGUAGCAAACGGG